rnacentral:rRNA from 1 species
AUUGAACGCUGGCGGCAGGCCUAACACAUGCAAGUCGAGCGGAUGAAGGGAGCUUGCUCCUGGAUUCAGCGGCGGACGGGUGAGUAAUGCCUAGGAAUCUGCCCGGUAGUGGGGGAUAACGUCCGGAAACGGGCGCUAAUACCGCAUACGUCCUGAGGGAGAAAGUGGGGGAUCUUCGGACCUCACGCUAUCAGAUGAGCCUAGGUCGGAUUAGCUAGUUGGUGGGGUAAAGGCCUACCAAGGCGACGAUCCGUAACUGGUCUGAGAGGAUGAUCAGUCACACUGGAACUGAGACACGGUCCAGACUCCUACGGGAGGCAGCAGUGGGGAAUAUUGGACAAUGGGCGAAAGCCUGAUCCAGCCAUGCCGCGUGUGUGAAGAAGGUCUUCGGAUUGUAAAGCACUUUAAGUUGGGAGGAAGGGCAGUAAGUUAAUACCUUGCUGUUUUGACGUUACCAACAGAAUAAGCAUCGGCUAAUUUCGUG